CCAGUCCACUGAGAACAGAGGUUAAAGUGAUUAUGAAAGGAUGAUGAUGUUUUAAUGAGAGCAGCUUUCAGGGGCGGAGCUAUAGGACACAUCCUCUGCUGCAGUGAGUGUUUCUGUCUAACUAACAGUUCCUUCAACAGAUGAACUAAUCCAUCAUACUGCAAAAUGGUGCUCUGUUUUUUGGUUUUGUUCUGUACUUUUGCAAGUGUGAGUUUUGGGAAUGUGAUCACACCAGUUCGUACUCAGGUGUCUGGGAUGGAGGGGAACAAUAUAACACUGUCCUGUAGCUACUCCUCAGCAGUUAGUCUGCAGUGGUAUCGCCAAUAUCACGGUUCAGCUCCGGAAUACCUUUUGAUAAUACUACAUGGGACAGGAAAAGAGUCAGACAAGUCUGAAAUUGUAAAUCUAGAUCCUCGAUUUUCUGGAAAACUGAAUGAAGAGAAAACCCAUGUGUAUCUGGAGAUCUCCUCUGCUAAAGUGACAGACUCUGCUAUGUACCACUGUGCUCUGGAGCCCACAGUGACAGGAAACACUGUAACUCUGUACAAAAACUUCAUUUAUUUAGUGGGGGAAGUUAUUUAUCAUCCAGCAUAUUUCUGUAAACAUUUGUUUGUGCUAGGAGUGUAA